GUUGGUUCUCUCUCAUGAGCCCCCUCACCAUGUGAUGUCCCAAGCUGCCUUGGGACUCUGCAGAGGGUCCCCAUAAGAGGAAGGCCCCGACUAGAUGGAAUCCUUUGUCCCUGGACUUCUCAGCCUCCAGAACUCUUUCCCAUUGAGUGUUUUCAAUGGGAAAUGUCUAACUGCUCUGUGGGUGUACACCACGGCCAGUUGCUAAUUUUGGAACACUUGUGAAUCCUGGGCCCAGAGUCAUGACCAAUACUGUUGCCUCAUUUUACCUUCUGAAAUGAUGGAGGAAGUUCUGCUGAGGAUGGGGUCAGGGUAACAGCAGACUUCUGAAUAACUCUGCACCCCCAGAAACCUGCAAAGGACACAGGCCCUCUUGGUGGUCUCCUCCUGGAUGCCUUGCUUUCUCCUGGAAGAGUCCUCCCUUCCACCCCGGAUAUCACUGUGAACCUGAUUCCCCAGGAUCAACCAUCUGAGCAGAUACCUUGGAAUGUCCCCAGAUUUCAGAGCCUCGGACCAGCAGCAACACACUCUGAAGUAGGUCUCAGAAGACAAAAAGCUGAAAUCAACUCAUGCUUCCUGCUACACAGAAUCCACUGAGAGGAAAAGGAAACUUCACCGAAACUUCAGAAAGCUACAGAAAUGACAUCCAUUUUCACAAUCCCAGAAGGAAAGAUGCAUCUGAAGGGAAUAAAAACAGAGCAAUGGAAGAGUAUUUGUUAAAAUAAAUGGCUUUGACAGGGCAUUUUCUCUAAAGGUCUCCUUUGCCUCAAAUAGUACUCCUGCCUUCAGUCCAUCUUGCAUGCCACCCAGCUGUGGGCAUCCUGGCAGUUGCUGCCAUGUCCUUGCCUAAAAGCCUCCACCCCCAACCAACCCACC
rnacentral:lncRNA from 10 species